rnacentral:tRNA from 1 species
GUCCCCUUCGUCUAGAGGCCUAGGACACUGCCCUUUCACGGCGGCGACAGGGGUUCGAAUCCCCUAGGGGACACCA